UACGUAGGGUGCGAGCGUUAAUCGGAAUUACUGGGCGUAAAGCGUGCGCAGGCGGUUUUGUAAGCCAGGUGUGAAAUCCCCGGGCUCAACCUGGGAAUGGCAUUUGGGACUGCAAGGCUGGAGUGCGGCAGAGGAGACUGGAAUUCCUGGUGUAGCAGUGAAAUGCGUAGAUAUCAGGAGGAACACCGAUGGCGAAGGCAGGUCUCUGGGCUGACACUGACGCUCAUGCACGAAAGCGUGGGGAGCGAAA
rnacentral:rRNA from 1 species